rnacentral:lncRNA from 1 species
UCCCCCUUCAUUCAUCACACAAAUUGAUUUGUAUAAUGAAUAAUCCAUUCCAAAACCCUUUUUUUGUCAUCCAUUAGUGAUAGGAUAAGGUUGGUUUUAAAUUAUAUUCUGAAGGUUUGAAUUUAAACCUAAAACCUGAUUCCUAUCAUUCCACAUGUUGGCUCCUUAUGAAGGUGCCUAUUAUGUAUGACAAAAAGAAAGUAUUCCUAAUUGUUUUUCAUGUCCAAAAUCC